rnacentral:miRNA from 10 species
CUUUUCUCAAGUAUUGCUAUUAGGUUGGUGCAAAAGUACUUGCGGAUUUUGCUUUACUUUUAAUGGCAAAAACCGCAAUUAGUUUUGCUUCAACCUAAUAGAUGCAAAGUUGGCU